rnacentral:lncRNA from 1 species
CGAGGUCUAUCAAUUGUUAACCUGAAUACUAAAUACAUGUUAAAAAUUCUUUUUAGAUCGAAGGUUUAUGUGACUUAAUGGUAGAAUAGGGACAGGUACAGAUACUCAAUUUCUCUGCUUGAUAUCAAGGUAAGAAGUAUACGCUGCAGGUAAGGGUGAAGGUUAGUACCUAUUAAAAUGUUAAAACCCACUGCAAUUGUUUGCACCUGUCCUGAGUCUGGAAUCUGAUGUUCGGUGGUUGUCGUUUGUUUAUGUGGUUCAUAAGAGUUUCUCAUUUCUCGUUUAUUUAUAGAUUAGACCGUUGGUUGUCCUGUUUGAAUGGUUUUGCACUGGCUAUUUUUGUGGCCCUUUAUAGCUUGCUGUUUGGUGUGAGCCAAAGCUUAGUGUUGAAGGCAGUACAUUGACCUAUAAUGGUUUACUUUUACAAAUUGUGACUUGGAUGGAGAAUUGUCUCAUUGGCAUUUGUACCACAUCUUCCAAUAUCUAAUUACAGUAUACAAGUAUGAAUGUGUGCAUUACCAGUGUCUGAGAUACUGCCGAAAAUUUGUCAAGCAUCCAGAGGUCCCAAAGUUUUAUUUACCUCAAUGGUCUGUUGGUCCAGUAAUUGUUAAAAGAUGACUGGUCCAGUCAGUGUUUUACACAUCUUUUACAUUAUGACAGUAUGAAAAUACAAAAGUCUAAUCCAUCUACACUCUUCAUUUGUUCCAGUAAUUGAUGAAAUUUUACUAGAUCAAACAAUUUUUACUGGACAUUGCCACAUGUUUGCCAGACCUUGGGAAUCACUGAGGCCACAAUUAAAAAUAUUUUGGUUUGCCCAAACCCUACCCAAGGUUGAGACAGUGGGUAGGUAGGUAGGCAUUUUUUUGUCGAGCCUGCAACUUUUGUUGCAGAAAGCUCGACAUAGGGAUAGUGAUCCGGCGGCGGCGGCGGCGGUGUUAGCUCACUUCUUAAAAACUAUAUAUUUUAGAAGGUGGAAGACCUGGAUGCUUCAUAUUUUGUAUAUAGAUGCCUCAUGUUACGAAGUUUCCGUCAGUCACAUGUCCAUUGUCCUUGACCUCAUUUUCAUGGUUCAGUGACCACUUGAAAAAAAAGUUCAGAUUUUUUGCAAUGUUAAAUUUUCUCUUACUGUAAGUAAUAAGAUAACUAUAUUUAGUAUGUGCGUACCUUACAAGGUCCUCAUGCCCGUCAGACAGUUUUCACUUGACCUCAACCUCAUUUCAUGGAUCAGUGAACAAGGUUAAGUUUUGGUGGUCAAGUCCAUAUCUAAGAUACUAUAAGCAAUAGGUCUAGUAUAUUCGGUGUAUGGAAGGACUGUAAGGUGUACAUGUUCAACUGGCAGGUGUCACCUGACCUUGACCUCAUUUUCAUGGUUCAGUGGUUAAAGUUAAGUUUUUGUGUUUUGGUCUGUUUUUCUCAUACUGUAUGCAAUAGGUCUACUAUAUUUGUUGUAUGGAAUGAUUGUAAGGUGUACAUGUCUAGCGGGCAGAUGUCAUCUGACCUUGACCUCAUUUUCAUGGUUCAGUGGUUAAAGUUAAGUUUUUGUGUUUUGGUCUGUUUUUCUCAUACUUUAUGCAAUAGGUCUACUAUAUUUGUUGUAUGGAAUGAUUGUAAGGUGUACAUGUCUAGCGGGCAGAUGUCAUCUGACCUUGACCUCAUUUUCAUGGUUCAGUGGUCAAAGUUAAGUUUUUGAGUUUUGGUAUUUUUAUCUAAUACAUGUACUAUAUGUCAUAGGUCAACUAUAUUUUGUGUAUGGAAAUAUUUUAUGAUCUAUAUGUCAGUCGUGCAGGUUUUAUUUGACCUUGACCUGGUUUUCAAGGUUCAUUGCUCAGUGUUAAGUUUUUUGUGUUUUGGUCUAUUUUCUUAAACUAUAAGCAAUAGGUCAACUAUAUUUGUUGUAUGGAAGCAUUGUUAGCUGUACAUGUCUGCCUGGCAUAUGGUUCAACUGACCUUGACCUCAUUUUCAUGGUUCAUGUUAAGUCUAUGUGACAGUCGUAAUAAAGCUUUAGAUUUAGGAGUAUCAACAUAAUAUCAAUGAUUAGUAAAGAAGGCGAGACAUUUCUGUGUGUGCACUCUUGUUUUUAAUUUUUAAGAAAUUUACGUAUCGGGUGUUUAUUAGUCUUCAUGCCUAUUUGAUUAAAAAAAAACUUCUUCAAAUCAGGACAAUAAAAGAAUUUGAGUAGGCAGCUUUUUUCUGGGUUACUGUAAGGUAGGGUUUGGGCAAACAAACCUAUUCUUUUUUAUGGCCUGAGCGUCAAUUUUUUUUAUUCACCAAAUCAUAAAGAUUUAUUCUUAUUAUCAAUAGAUAUAAAAAGAUGUGGUAUGAGUGCUAAUGAGACCAUCCAAAUCAAAAUACUGAUCAUUGAUGAUAAAUACAAUAAUCUUGGUGUAUCAUUUGGUAAAAAUAACUAGCUUACUAGACUAAACAAAAUAUGUAUCAUGAUUAAAGAGUCUACCAGUCCCUAUGGCAUACAUGUAUGAUUUUCGGUUUGUGGUCUUCCAUCAGGUGCUUAUAGCUAAUGGAUAUAUGCAUGACUUUAUGUUUGGGGCCUUCCAUUAGGGGUUUCCAUGUUUGCUUACCUGCUGCUAAUGAGACUUGAGAUAUCAAUGAAAUUGUAAUAUUUUCCAGGUAGAUGUUUUGAUGAUUUUUUAAAAUACUAAAAAGUGAUAUUUGAUGAGGCUGUAAAUUGAUAUAUACUUAAACUUACUUUUAGAUUUAGACUUUUAUGAUAAACUUUUUUUUAUGAAAUUUAAAUUAAUGCAUAUAUCUUUGAUGGAUAGUUGUCUCAUUAGUAACCAUACUACUACAUUAUUUAUCUAUGUUUUCCAGCAAACAUAGAUUGAGGAUUUACUAAGUUUUUGUUGAUGUCAACUACAUAGAAAAUAACUUAAACUAGUUACAAAAAAUGUGCCAAUUGUACAAGUAGAAAUAGCAUGGUCAUUUCUAACUUUUAUACAAUAGGCUAUUUAUUCAUGACUACACACACUUUUACAUGUACGGAAGUCUAUUGUUUAUAAUUUAUUGGUGUAGGUGUAAAUGCAUGUUAUUUAAAUCAUUAAAAACACACCAUGUCACAGAUAAUAUAUAAUGAUGUAAUACUUGAACAAGCUUUAAGGUGACAAAUUACGUGUAUUGCACAAAAUAAAAAAAUAAAUCUUGUGUGUUCAUUUUACAGAAAUCUUGUCAAGAAGUUGUGAUUGAUGGAUUUAAACUGAAAAAUUGUUCGUGCAUUGCGGUUGACGCUUUCCAUUGUGCAGGAAGAAAAGGAACAAAGUUUUGAAUUAUUUCAGGUAAUAUUUACUAGUUUUAGAUGGGAUGUAUUUUAUAUUAUAUAUUUUACAGGGUGCACAAUCAAAUGAGAUGAAG